CCAGCCCCUCGCUCAGGCUUCGGGAGUUGUCGGCUGCGCGCAGCGCGGGCUCUCCGGCCACUUCCCCUCCCCCCAUCCCGGCCGUGGCCUCGCGCAGUCCGCGGGCGUCGCUUCUGCAGGUCGGUCCCCAGGUGAGGACGGGAAACUGGCCGCGGGCCCCGCGAGAAAUGGAGUCCAGGAAGGGGCGGGCGUCAUGAGGCCGCCAGGGCAGGUCUGGCCUCUACCGCCACCCUCACUCCCACCUCCAUUCCGGUACCCGCAGCUGGCCUCCGGCUGUGGGCCGGAUAAAGUGGGGGGUUACCCUGGGGACGUACUGUUGGAGAAAUACGGUACGGUGUUUCUGCCUAGCGAUCACGGUUACCCUCGGGAAAGUGCACGCUCGCUGCGCUGCCUCGGAGCCUCCCAGCCUCCAGAACGGCCUAGGGCGUCUGACCCCUGCCUCGAAUCAGUGACACCCCCAGGUCUGGGCCACCUUCCUGAGGACCGACCUGUGCUUCACUCUCAGGCUGCUGUGGUCCGCAGCAGUCCCGGGACGCUUUGGCACUCCGCGCGGAGGUGGGAAGAGCAAGGCCGAGAGGAACUUGCCCAAGAGGUGGCAGUGAGCCGACGGUGCCACGCACCCUGCUAACGCCCUUUAACUCACACUCCUGUUGGAUCCUCAGCCUACAGAUGAAGACAUGGACUGUGAGGGGCCACGGGUCCUCCCCGGGUGACUCGGCCGAAAAGAAAGUUGAGGCCAGAGAGGUGGGCAAUUCACCCAAGGUCACACAGCAAAUGCACUGGCAAAGACAAAAAGAGAACUGAGACAUAUCUUGCUCCAGAGACUUCUCUUCUCCCAUCCCAGGCUGUGGAGCUUGGCCCCAGGACAGCAUCCCCACUGUCGCUUCACCCUGCCGCUCCUCCCAGGCCACCUGUACCCUUCCCUGCCACUCAGAGAGGAUCUCCCUGUCAGGAGUCAGGAUGGAGCCAGAACGGAUGGAUGCAGCAGAGGCGGACCCCCACCUCAGACCUCACACCAGCCUGCAGUCCUGGGACCAACAGUCCUCACAAGACCACCAGCGCUCUCGAUGCUGCAUCUACCCCACCUCCCUGUACCCGGGAAGGGGGAAGCAUCAUCAUCCAAGCUGGCUGCUGGCCUAGCAAGCGCUGUUGUUAUCACCACGGGAAUAGCAAACCUGUAAAACAAGAACCAACCACUAUGAAAAAGGAGCAUUCAGAGAACAGGAAAGAACGUUCGAAAACGUAAGCGUUCACAGUAAUCAUGAAAACCCAACCAAGACUGAAUAGCAGAAUGGACACACCUGAGAACCAAAUCAGAGCGACAGAUGGAAAUUAUGAGAGAAAAAUGCCAGAGCCACGGUUCAAUGGAAGGAAUUGAAUUCACAUGCAGAAACGAAGAUGGAUCAAAAUCACCUUCCCAGUGAAAUCCGGCCCCUCCUCGCUCCAGCAGAGAGAUGUUGAUGGAUAACAGGGAGUUGAUUUUCUACAAUGAAUAUAUACUACUUCUAUAACCAGAAAAAAAAUAUCGUUUGAUUGUGCAACUUGGUAAGGAUGCUGAGGCACAGAUAUGUGAAGGAACUCACCCCCGGUCACACAGCUGAAAGAUGGCAGAGUCUGGAUUUAAAGGCAAGUCAUCUGAAGCCAGAGCUCAGGCUCUUGAAGAGCCAUAAGUUUGGGACAAAAAAAAGUCACAACCUUCAUCCUGAGGGAGGACAUCUGUAAAGAAAAUAGAAGACUGAGUCCUCAUCAGAGAUGCGAGGCAACAGAGGCCCAGAAGGCCCUUGGCUUCUAUGCUGCAACUAUCUGUCUUGCCCUGAAGAGGAACUCCUGUGUCAGUCCACAGGCCUCCGAGCUUCUGACUCCCGCGUUCUGGAUGCCUGUCAACCACAUCUCCCGUUUUCGCACAUCAGCCAUUAUUCCAGUAUUACCGCCUGGACUUUGUUGAUUUUUCUUUUUAUCUUCCUUGUCCACGUGCAACAGAUUUGAGGCCUUCUUCAUCUCAUCAAAUAACGAAAUCAGCCAUUUUCUGAUAUUUACUUCUCUUUCAAGUAAGAUAUUUAUCCCAAGGGGAGAACCAUUUUUUUCCCCCUGCUCUCAUUGAAAUUCAUCAAAACUUUGGAACAAUGCUAUGCCCUGGGAUCGGCCUUUCCAGGUGACUUCAUCUGUAUUCGUGCCUUGUCUGCCGUCUUUUUGCCAGUGACUUGUAAAUUUCCGUCUCCUGCCGGGAUCUCUCCCCUGAAUUCCCAUCUUUUGCACCCAGCCACCGGUUUGUAGCUCCACAUGAAUGUCUCUGAAACACCACCAACCCUCGGUGAUUGCUCUCCCUUGACCCCAGCAGGCUCACCCCUACUAUCUGUGGAACCCGGGGUGAGAGGGAAACAGAGGCGUUGUCUACCUGCUUCUCCUCCUGUCCCGGCCCCGUCCAGAGCUUCAGGGCUAGCACACAUGUGCAUGAACACUGGGGACAAUGCUCUGUCCACACCCACAUCCACAUCCACAUCCACAAACAGCACCCUUGCUUCUCCUGGGCCUCAGGGCGCACACUCCUGUGAUGCACCCUCCCUCCUGGAGGGGCAGGUCUGGGGCUCCAAGUCAUCUGGGCGGGGAACUCUGAGGUCCAGAUCCUGAAGAGUCACCCCAACACCCUCUUCCUGGCCCCACAGCCGACCAUCUACACGGACCUCUAGAUUUUCUUUCAGCCUCUCCCUCCCUAGUCCCUGGGGUUUGUCCACACCACCUCCCUCUCAUCCAGAGACCAGAGCCACGGCUCUUCCCACAUGUGCUCUUGUCUGCUCCAAUCCAUCCCAACUUUUGAAAGAUGUUAAUGAGCUGAAGUCCCCAGGUGAGUGGUCUCCCCUUGCACAACACAGACUCCACCCCCUGCGGCCACCCCACACCCCCCCUUGCUCUCGAGGUCAGCCCAUUGACCACGGCAAGCACGACGUCAUCCUUCCGGGUCUCCCGUCCAGACGUGGAGCUGCCUCUCCACCCCUUGAGUCUGGGCUGGCCUGUGACUCACCUUGGUCCACAGAACGUGGCAGCAGUGAGGUUGUGCCCCUCUGAGCCUGGGCUUCCUAAGGCCCUGCAGCUCCCACCCACACCCCUGCCCAGCUUUGGCGGGACAGGCCCGGGCUGGCCCACAGGGGAGCAGGGGGGAGCCCUCUCACACCCAGGACCUCCAAGGCCCCCAGCUCCAACAACCUGCCUGCUGACCUCAGACACGCGAGCAAGCCCUGCUGGGCCCAGGUGGAGAGUCACAGAAUCACAAGCACAUUCAGUGGCUGUUGUUUUAAGCACUACAUUUUGGGGCCGUUUGUUACAGGGCAAAAGCUGACAGAAACUUCCACGUAGUUCCUUGAGCUCCCCGGGGCCUUCCUGACCUCUGGCCUUUCACGUGGGUCACUGCCUCUCUGGGUCCUGCUUCAUCCUGAUUUGCUGGCUCGGCUCUGCCUCAGCCUUCCGACUUGGACUUUCCCGCUGUCCCUGUCCCCAACCCCUCUGCUCCUCAGAGCCCCAUCAUCCCUGCCACCUCUCUGCCCUCCUCCUCCCUGCCUCAGCUUCACCCUCUCCGGCUCACAUGGACCCUGGAGGGGCCUCCCUCUAGUGCUUCUCCUGUCCACGAAGCCCUUUGCUCACUCCCUGUGACAGUCAUCAUCUGAUUCACAUCUCUCUGCCCUAAGGGGCCAUAAGCUCCAUGGGGACAGAGACCACCGCAGACCUCCAGUUCCUGCCACGUGCCCGGCAGAUAGUAGGAGCUCAGUACACAUUUGCUGGGUGAAUAAAUGACUGAACAAAUGA